rnacentral:rRNA from 1 species
CCUACGGGUGGCAGCAGUGAGGAAUAUUGGUCAAUGGACGAGAGUCUGAACCAGCCAAGUAGCGUGAAGGAUGACUGCCCUAUGGGUUGUAAACUUCUUUUAUAUGGGAAUAAAAUGUUCCACGUGUGGGAUUUUGUAUGUACCAUAUGAAUAGGGAUCGGCUAACUCCGUGCCAGCAGCCGCGGUAAUCCGGAGGAUCCGAGCGUUAUCCGGAUUUAUUGGGUUUAAAGGGUGCGUAGGUGGAUUGUUAAGUCAGUUGUGAAAGUUUGCGGCUCAACCGUAAAAUUGCAGUUGAAACUGGCAGUCUUGAGUACAGUAGAGGUGGGCGGAAUUCGUGGUGUAGCGGUGAAAUGCUUAGAUAUCACGAAGAACUCCGAUUGCGAAGGCAGUUCACUGGACUGCAACUGACACUGAGGCUCGAAAGUGUGGGUAUCAAACAGGAUUAGAUACCCUUGUAGUC